rnacentral:lncRNA from 1 species
UUCAAAAAAAAUGAAGCAAUUGUCCCUUGACAAACAACAAACUCUCAGGUAUGGAUCCAAACAGCAAAGUGCCCAAACUUUCAUCUCUCCGGUAUAGAUUAUAGAUCUCACUAUGACUACUACAAAAUUCUUUACGAUGAUAUCACUACAAAUUUCUCUCUCACUCUCUCUUAGAUGAUAUAAUGAUCACUACAAAAUUCUCUCUGACUAGAACAAAAUUUAAUUUCUCUCUGAUGGCCGCUACAAAAUUCUCCUAUACGGCUGCAGAAUAUAAUUCAUCUCAGUGCACAAGAAUCAUACGCAUCCAAGAAAGCGCAAGAAAUUCAUCUCAGUGCACCAUCCUGGUCAGUAUCAUUGGCAUCUUGGGGAGAGAGGACGACAAGCGGAUCACGUGCUCUGAGCACACCAGCGGCGGCGGCAGCGCCACGGCCGGGUGCGGUGACCGCGGCGGCGAGGCAGAGCCCACCGCGGACAGCAUUGCCGACGCCGGGGCGGC